ACGAACGCUGGCGGCAUGCCUAACACAUGCAAGUCGAACGAGACCUUCGGGUCUAGUGGCGCACGGGUGCGUAACGCGUGGAAUCUGCCCUCUGGUACGGAAUAACUCAGUGAAACUUGAGCUAAUACCGUAUAAUGACUUCCGGUCCAAAGAUUUAUCGCCUGAGGAUGAGCCCGCGUCGGAUUAGCUAGUUGGUGAGGUAAAAAGCUCACCAAGGCGACGCUCGUAGCUGGUCUGAGAGGAUGAUCAGCCACACUGGGACUGAGACACGCCCAGACUCCUACGGGAGGCAGCAGUGGGGAAUUUGGACAAUGGGCGGCAAGCCUGAUCCAGCAAUGCCGCGUGAGUGAUGAGGCCUUAGGGUUGUAAAGCUCUUUACCCGGGAAGAUAAUGACUGUACCGGGAGAAUAAGCCCCGGCUAACUCCGUGCCAGCAGCCGCGGUAAUACGGAGGGGGCUAGCGUUGUUCGGAAGUACUGGGCGUAAAGCGCACGUAGGCGGCUUUGCAAGUUAGAGGUGAAAGCCCGGGGCUCACCCGGAAUUGCCUUAAAACUGCAUCGCUAGAAUUGUGGAGAGGUAAGUGGAAUUCCGAGUGUAGAGGUGAAUUCGUAGAUAUUCGGAAGAACACCAGUGGCGAAGGCGACUUACUGGACACAUAUUGACGCUGAGGUUGCGAAAGCGUGGGGAGCAAACGGAUUAGAUACCCUGGUAGUCCACGCUGUAACGAUGAUGACUAGCUGUCUGGGCGCUUAGCGUUCAGGUGGCGCAUGCUACUCGUUAAGUCAUCCUCCUGGGGGAUACGGCCGCAAGGUUAAAACUCAAAGAAGUUGACGGGGGCCUGCACAAGCGGUGGAGCAUGUGGUUUAAUUCGAAGCAACGCGCAGAACUUACCAGCGUUUGACAUGCCAGGACGGUUUCCAGAGAUGGAUUCCUUCCCCUACUGGACCUGGACAGGUGCUUGCAUGGCUGUCCGUCAGCUCGUGUCGUGAGAUGUUGGGUUAAGUCCGCAACGAGCGAAAACCCUCGUCUUUAGUUGCUACCAGUUAGUUGGGCACUCUAAAGAACUGCCGGUGUGAUAAGCCGGAGGAAGGUGGGGAUGGACGUCAAGUCCUCAUGGCCCUUUACGCGCUGGCUACACACGUGCUACAAUGGCGGUGACAGAGGGAUGCAAACCCGCGAUGGUGAAGCGAUCUCCAAAAGCCGUCUCAGUCGGAUGUUCUCUGCAACUCGAGAGCAUGAGGACGGGAAUCGCCUAGUAAUCGCGGAUCAGCACGCGCGGGAAUACGUUUCCCAGGCUUGUACACACCGCCCGUCACACCAUGGGAGUUUGGUUUCACCCGAGGUGGUGCGCUAACCCGAAGGGAGGCAGCCAACCCACGGUGGGAUCAGCGACUGGGUGA
rnacentral:rRNA from 1 species